rnacentral:rRNA from 1 species
AGUGAACGCUGGCGGUAGGCCUAACACAUGCAAGUCGAACGGCAGCACAGUAAGAGCUUGCUCUUACGGGUGGCGAGUGGCGGACGGGUGAGGAAUACAUCGGAAUCUACUUUUUCGUGGGGGAUAACGUAGGGAAACUUACGCUAAUACCGCAUACGACCUACGGGUGAAAGCAGGGGAUCUUCGGACCUUGCGCGAUUGAAUGAGCCGAUGUCGGAUUAGCUAGUUGGCGGGGUAAAGGCCCACCAAGGCGACGAUCCGUAGCUGGGCUGAGAGGAUGAUCAGCCACACUGGAACUGAGACACGGUCCAGACUCCUACGGGAGGCAGCAGUGGGGAAUAUUGGACAAUGGGCGCAAGCCUGAUCCAGCCAUACCGCGUGGGUGAAGAAGGCCUUCGGGUUGUAAAGCCCUUUUGUUGGGAAAGAAAAGCAGCAGGUUAAUACCCCGCUGUUCUGACGGUACCCAAAGAAUAAGCACCGGCUAACUCCGUG